GUUCACAGCAGCUCCUCACCUGUUUGUAAGGAGAAUAAGCAUUCUGCUGGGAGGCUGCCUGUAGGAUCAGACUCAUACAGCAGGCAUACCAGAAUGCUCACAUGGAAAUGAUUGGGAGGAACUACUUUCAGGGCAACCUACAUAUUUUUUUAAGUUAAGAAGUGGGAAUUCUGAGAUUCAAAGGAGUGAAAAGAAUCCACAAAGAUUUGGUGUCUCAUUUGAGAGAAGCCUAGGACUUGAUUUUCUGUAACAAUUUAGUUCUAUGCCACCCUUCAUUUACCUGCUUACAGCUCUCAUUGACUUCAGAUCCAGAUUUAAGUACUCAGUACAUCAAUAAAUUAGAUUCUUACCAGACUUAAAAAAUUGGUUAGGGGCCAUCUAUAAUAAAUAUAUUGUAAGUGACACACAAAGCAUCAAUUACAAACUCAGGGGCAAGGAUAUAAUUUAGCUCUCAGGACAGCAGUCAGUUGCUUUAAACACUGACCUGUUCUUUUCUCCUUUGGAAGCCUUUGCUGCAGUCACUACUGGCUCUUCAGCUUCUGUCAUGAACACUGUAGAAGUCCUACUGAAUGUCCUUUUAGAUCUCUCUAGCUUCACAAGUUUCAGUUUGUAUCCACAUUUUGUGCCCAAAGAGGCAGAGACCCUGUGAAACCAAAGAUCCAGAUAAAACAAGCUGCAAAAGCUUGAUUAAUUCUUCCAGCAAGCUACAUUUUCAAGGCCUCAUAUGAAUUAUUCAUCUCUCAAGUAUUCCAAAGAAAAAACUGUAAAGUCCCAGCAUCACAAGAAGGGGGGGAGAAUGGGGGGGUUAAUUAUAUUCUUAAGAAAUAGAAUAUGCAAGUAAAUAGAAUGUAAUUGAAUGAAGUGAAUUUGAAUCAUAGGUAUGUUAAUAUACCCCUUCGAUACAUCCCUGAGGAUUUUAGUAUCUUUGUUUAUUUUCAUAGAAUCAUAGAAUCACCAAGGUUGGAAAAACCCACAGGAUCACCCCAUCCAACCAUCCACUGAUCACCAAUAGUUCUCACUAAACCAUGUCCCUCAACACAAAAUCCAAACGUUCCUUGAACACCUCCAGGGUCAGUGACUCCACCACCUCCCUGGGCAGCCCAUUCCAGUGCCUGACCACUCUUUCAGAAAAGCAGUAUUUCCUAAUGUCCAGCCUGAAUCUCCCCUGGCGCAGCUUGAAGCCAUUCCUUCUAGUCCUAAAAUUUUGGUUCAAAUAUAUAUUCUGUUGCAUUUAUUUUAUCUACUUUUUCUGAUUGCUGUAAACAGUACUGAACAAAUAUAUUAAGUUCACUUUAACUAUUAUGGAUUUUAUCUUCUUUUAUAGACACACAGCAGUGCAACAUGAAAUGUAUCUUUCACAGAAGAUGCAGUAAAACAAUGUUAGGAAGCACUUUGUCAUUAAUUUAAGAGUGUGUGAAAAUGCAAUUAGGAGGACUAUACAAAUUCUGGAAUUCGCUGCAUCUCAGCCAGUUCUUAAAAAUUCAAAUAUGCAUUUGAGCUGCAUAUCAAUUUUUUGCUGAAGACUGUUCCCCACAGCUCUCGGUGUCUUCUGAUAUUACAGCUGUGUCUCCAUAUACAAGAUAUAUUUAUAUUUUUCUGAUUUUGCACUUAAGUCCCAUACCAUUGACUGCUUCUAAAACAUGGAGUACACAGAGGUUCUGCUAUGAUUUAUUUCUUUACUUAUUCUCUUUCUGUCCUUGCAAGUAGCAUGGCCUCAGCCUCACCGCAUUGGACACAAUCUGACACCUCCACUGCUCUGCAAAGACAUCUUAGAAGGUGCUUAUAGCCUAUCAUUUACCGUAACAUAGUGACACCAUUCCUCAGCACUGAGAUAUGAUACUUUUGGCAUGCCCAUUUCUUGGCUAGUUUCUUUGUUACCAAGCCAAAUUCUCAGAAGAGAGCAGUGUGAGGUGCAAAAGAAAAAAAAACAACCUCAAGGAUCUUGUGAACAAGGAGCACAUACUCACAAUUUUGCAGCUGGAAAAUUUCCCAUUCAUCUAGCAACAGAGCUGGCCAAACCAAGAACUGUUACAGAUUUAAGAAGCCAAAAAUAGUAUACAUGUAUGUUUAGGUUAGAACAAACUAUCAGGAAAGACUAUGUUAGGAAAUUCCUAUAUGGUGAGGCAGUUAUGCCAUGCUGUCAUAUGAUUGUGGCCUUUUUGAUGCUGAUGGUGGUGACAAGUUCCCUUGCCCCAGCUCUAUCUCCAGAACACAGAAUCACAGAAAUGUAGGUGUUGGAGGGGACCUCUGGAGAUCAUCUAGCCCAACCUUUGCUAAAGUAGGUUCUCUACAGUAGGUUACACAUGGAAGUGUCCAGGUAGGUUUUGAGUAUCUGCAGUGAAGGAGACUCCACCUCUCCAGACAACCUGUUCUAGUGCUCUGUCACUUUGAAAGCAAAGAAGUUUUCUUCUCAUGUUCACAAAGAACUCCUGAGCUAAUGUCAUUCUGAGACCAGUGAGGGUGGUUAGAGUGCUCGAGAGAUUUCUUCCUGCUUGGAACAUAGGUAACCUAAGAAAAAACUUCAGCCCAGCCCAUAUAAUUGUCCUGCAAGUGUUUAAAUUGUUCACACACUGGCUUUUGGGAAGCUUGAAAUCAUACACUGCUACAGGAACUCAUUCUGCCAGAGUGAGCGGUUACUCAUGUCCAAGAACAAGAAAAGGGGCUUAAUCUCUAUGUGAGUGACAAAUGUUUAGUGAAUACCAUGUUAUCAGGAGGACUUGGAAGCCUCAUUCAGGCAGCUCAUUUUUCUAUCAUGAUGCUUCUUCUCCAUACUAUUUUACUCUUCUCUAACAGGUAAGAAAUGGAAUUCCCUGCUGAUCACAUUUUAGAGUUUCCUGAGAAGGAAAGCAACUGAUGCCACAAAAUGGCAAAGAAGGACGCUGUGUAGCAUCACAGUGCAAUGAAGCAUGAUCUUGUCCCGCUUACUUCAAGUCUCAUCAGUCCUUUAGAGCACUCCAGUCAUCAGAAGUCAAUUUGUUUAUUUGAUACUGAUACAUCACAUCAGGGCUGGUACAGUUUCAAGUUGUGCACAGUGUGCUCUGAAAACAAAAGCACUGUGCAGCUCCAUAACCAAUACCUCCAACAACACAGCUGUUUACUGCAUUCUCAUGUUACUGUUUCCAUCUCUACAGUUACUGUUAGUGGGAGGGCUUUUGCACAGGCUCCUGAAAAGCUGCGUCGGCAAUCUCAGUGCCAAGUCUUCUAGCACAGCAAAAGCUGGUACACAGUCCCAUUCAGACAAGCAGUGGUGUUUUGCCUGAAAUACCCAGCAUAUCAGCAUUAAAAAAUGUAGAAAAUAAUCACUACCAAUUCCUACUUUUGUGACAACACCACCCCUAAGAGCAAAAUAGUGAAAAGAGCCAAAGUAGGAGUUUCUUUGAGAGUCUUUUAGUUCUCGUCUUAGUCCUACUUGAAAAUAUUGCCGAGACAUGACCUACAGAUGUUAUACUUCAAGUUGCCCCCAUGAAAAUUCAAAUGGAGACAAGCUGAAUACUUUCCAAAGUAAGAAAUGAGUAAGAAUGCCAACUACCAAUGCAUCAACAGUAAUGAAGGAACAGUUGACAGCAUUUACUGGAUCUGAGGAAAGAAGAUGAUAGCCUUCCUCAGGUUCCCUCACUUAUGCAUCUACAUGUUUAUGCCUGAGAAAUCUUUUUUAUAUGGUUUGUGUGUUACUUGCUUUAUCACGUUGUGUUGGCUAUAUGCUGUGUAUCUUAUCUGCAUGCUGUUUUCUCCUAUCUUAUUUUGCUUGGGUUUGGUCUUUGACCUAGUUUUCCAUUCUCCUGUUUGAAUAAACAUGUUUGAA